GUAUGUUGCCCUUAGCGCAAUGCCACGAAGUAUAUUACACGACCCGUUGCUUCUCUUUGAGCUGAAGUGGUCAGAGAUAGAUCUCCUAGUAUACGAGGGGUUGAACUAGAGAAAACGUGAUCCACUUUCCUCCCGUGGCCUGCUCAACAUCGACACCAUGGACGAUGGCUUGUUUCGAACAUAAUUUCGUUUCGAAAAAUACAUAGGGAAGCUUCGGGUCGCUUUGCGCAUUCCUGAAACAGUUGUGAUAGUUUAAAGAGUGCUAAUAUUCGGAGAAGAAGCACGUUGUAUUACCCUUCGGCGGCUGGCGUAUCCGAACCGACUGAAAGAUCUUGAAGACUUCUUCGGCCGACAUCGAUCGGCGAUAUCGUCGUUGACGACAGAGGUAUUGAGACGUGUCGAUGAGAAGUUCUUCCACCUCUUGGACGACGUAAAUAACUACAGCUGGCUUACCAUCGACACGCUGGAGAACUUUUCAAAGGCCAUUAACGCUGAAGGAGCCCCACUUACUAACUGUUGGGGCUUCACUGGCGGCACCGCGCAAGCUCUAUGCCGACCUACAAGACAACAGCAGCUGUACUUUAGUGAACACAAAAGGUUCCAUGCCCUAAAAUACCAGGCAAUGAUGUGCCUGAAUGGCAUCAUUUGCCAGCUGGAUGGAUGUUAUCCAGGUUGCAAGCAUGAUGCUGGAACCGGACCUGCGACCAACGGGGCCAUACUAUGAGGCCCCCGGCAUUUAGUCGAACCAUCACACCUCCUUCAUUAUCACAAUCUCUCUGAAGGCCGAUAUGACUUAAAGUUUGGAUCUAAAAUGGAAAUUCCAAUUGCAACCUAUAUGCUUCACUUUGUGACAUGCGUGCCGAAAAUAAACAUGAGUUCUUAUCUGAU